rnacentral:lncRNA from 1 species
GUCUUGUCUGCUGGGGCAUUAGUUCUCAUUCACUAUUUUCCAAGGUACUGCUCCUGGCUUGGAAGGAUUCGGUGAACUGGGUAUAGGAGAGAAAGGAAAAAAAAAAAAAAAAAAAAAAGAUUUUAUUUAUUUAUUUGACAGAGAUCACAAGUAGGCAGAGAGACAGGCAGAGAGAGAGGAGGAAGCAGGCUCCCUGCUAAGCAGAGAG